UACGUAGGGACCAAGCGUUGUUCGGAUUUACUGGGCGUAAAGGGCGCGUAGGCGGCAUGACAAGUCACUUGUGAAAUCUCCGGGCUUAACUCGGAACGGCCAAGUGAAACUGUCAAGCUAGAGUGCAGAAGGGGCAAUCGGAAUUCUUGGUGUAGCGGUGAAAUGCGUAGAUAUCCAGAGGAACACCUGAGGUGAAGACGGGUUGCUGGGCUGACACUGACGCUGAGGCGCGAAAGCCAGGGGAGCAAACGGG
rnacentral:rRNA from 1 species